GACGAACGCUGGCGGCGUGCCUAACACAUGCAAGUCGAGCGGGAAUUUACAAAAUGAUUCCUUCGGGAUGAAUUUUGUAAAGGAUAGCGGCGGACGGGUGAGUAACGCGUGAGUAACCUGCCCUUAAGAGGGGGAUAACAUACCGAAAGGUGUGCUAAUACCGCAUAACAUACAUUUGCCGCAUGACAGAUGUAUCAAAGAUUUAUCGCUUAAGGAUGGACUCGCGUCUGAUUAGAUAGUUGGUGAGGUAACGGCUCACCAAGUCGACGAUCAGUAGCCGAGCUGAGAGGUUGAUCGGCCACAUUGGGACUGAGACACGGCCCAGACUCCUACGGGAGGCAGCAGUGGGGAAUAUUGCGCAAUGGGGGAAACCCUGACGCAGCAACGCCGCGUGAAGGAUGAAGGUCUUCGGAUCGUAAACUUUUGUCUUAUGGGAAGAACAAGGACGGUACCAUAGGAGGAAGCCACGGCUAACUACGUGCCAGCCGCCGCGGUAAAAC
rnacentral:rRNA from 1 species